rnacentral:rRNA from 1 species
UACGUAGGGGGCAAGCGUUGUCCGGAAUCAUUGGGCGUAAAGCGCGUGUAGGCGGCUAGGUAAGUCUGCUCUGAAAGCCCGGGGCUCAACCCCGGGAGGCGGGUGGAUACUGUCUAGCUCGAGUCCGGAAGAGGAGUGUGGAAUUCCUGGUGUAGCGGUGAAAUGCGCAGAUAUCAGGAGGAACACCAGUGGCGAAGGCGGCUCACUGGACCGGAACUGACGCUGAGGCGCGAAAGCGUGGGGAGCAAACAGG